ensembl:rRNA 5S_rRNA 5S ribosomal RNA
GUCUAUGGCCAUGCCACCCUGAACAAGCCCGAUCCCAUCUAAUCUCAGAAGCUAAGCAAGGUUGGGCCUGGUUAGUACUUGGAUGGGAGACCAUCUAGGAAAAUCCAGGUGCCGUAAGCU